rnacentral:lncRNA from 1 species
AGUAAAAGCAAGGUGUAUAAGGUAACCUGACCAUUGGCGAAUAUGUUCCGUGCGCUCUCAUAGAAAUGGAGAAAAAGCCAUCAAUGCUUUGCCCCUGGCAGAAAUUUCAAAGUCUCUCUCAGAGACUGCCCUUUCCCUGUCUUGUGCCUGAAGCUAUCUUACACAAGCUGGAUGAGUGCUGCCUUUUCUUGGUCUUAGGCCCUGAAAAUAUGCAUGAAUUGUGAGAGAUGAAAUAAAAGCAGAAAACCCUAAAUAAUCAGUUUUGAGGAAUUAUGAAGGUGUGCUUCACUAGUAGGAUAUUAAGGCAAAUUUGGAAUUUCAUAAAAAUUUAGGCUUAUAUAUAUGUAAUUUUAUUUAUAUUAUAUGAGUAUAAUAUAUAAUUAAAUAUGUAAUAUAUAAAUAAAUAGUCAUAUUUAUUCUUUGGCUAUUUCAUAUAAUAUAUACAAAGUAUCUUGAGGAUAUCUACCCCCACCUCUCCAGUCUCUCCCCCCUCAGAAGCCCCCUGCGCACCUCCCACCUUCCAUU